AAAUCCUCCAAAUCCUCCUGUGGCAGUCUGAGAUUCCAGAUUUCCAAUGCAUUGGGAUGAUUUUCUUGUUGACAAGAUUUGAUCCUCAUUUUCCAAGUUUUUCCACAGAAAAGCAGCUGUUUCCUGCAAGGAAUUCCUGGAGGAAUGAGCUUCUUCAGUACAGGCAGCGUUCUGAAGCAAGAGACAGAAUUCAAAUGACAAGGAAUUUGAGAAGUGCCACAUUUUGCUCUGUGAAUGUUUCUGUGGAAGGAUCACAGUCCCAGGUGUUCCAUCUGUCAGUGGCAGCUGUGGCUGCAACCUCGGGAAUGCCAACCCUGGGAACGUUCAAGGUGUGGCUGUUGCACAGAGAUACAAACAGGAGAGCCUCAGAUGGUUUUGGCAGCUUUUUAUCUUCCUGUCUGAAAAUGCUCCGGCAAGGACUUGAGGAAAAGUGGGACAGCCAUGAAAAUGUUCUUUUAGGCCAAAGAAGAAUAAUACAGCUAGCACUGGAAAUGAUGCAUGGAAAUUAUGGAUGCAUUUUAACUUUCACCAGGUAAUAGGAGAACACAUGCAAAAUUAUACCAAAUGGAG
rnacentral:lncRNA from 1 species